GGUUAUACAAAUUAUAGGAAAAACAGGAGUUUUAUCGGGUAUGUGUGCAUGUGUGCAUUUGAAUUUGAAGAGGAAAAAGAGAGAAUGUGGGUUUAAAUUUCCUCAUCAGGUUGAUGAACAGAUAACUGUGCUUUUUACUUUUGACACAAAUGUUUACUCAGUUUAUUUAGCUGUUGGUGUUGCUUGAAGACCACCACAUGUAAAACUCAGACCUUAUGGAUAAGGGCUCUUUCUGUGCAAGAGUUGUCUUUUGUCUCUGAAGAAACUCAACUACUGACUUUGGGUGAAAUAUAAAGAUACUGACCUGUAAAAAUGUCAUCAACCCUUUUUAAAAAUGUUAUUAAGGCACUGUUGACUAUUAACUCGGUUUUGCCGUAUGAUCUCUCUGCUGACCCCUGUGACAACUACACUGUGCUGGAUGAUCCAAGAAGAGCCACCAACUACACUACAUCCAGAUCCAUAUGUGACACCUCUGUCAGUUGGGCUGGCUGGUAUCGACUUUACCUUCAUGGCCAAAAUGCUCAAAUGCCAGAAUCAUGUGUUGUU